rnacentral:rRNA from 1 species
GGGCGUAAAGGGCUCGUAGGUGGUUUGUCGCGUCGUCUGUGAAAUUCCGGGGCUUAACUCCGGGCGUGCAGGCGAUACGGGCAUAACUUGAGUACUGUAGGGGUAACUGGAAUUCCUGGUGUAGCGGUGAAAUGCGCAGAUAUCAGGAGGAACACCGAUGGCGAAGGCAGGUCUCUGGGCCAUUACUGACGCUGAGAAGCGAAAGCGUGGGGAGCGAACAGGGUUAGAUACCCUGGUAGUCCACGCCGUAAACGUUGGGCGCUAGGUGUGGGUCCCAUUCCACGGGGUCCGUGCCGCAGCUAACGCAUUAAGCGCCCCGCCUGGGGAGUACGGCCGCAAGGCUAAAACUCAAAGGAAUUGACGGGGGCCCGCACAAGCGGCGGAGCAUGCGGAUUAAUUCGAUGCAACGCGAAGAACCUUACCAAGGCUUGACAUGUACCGGAAACCCUCGGAGACGGGGGCCCCGCAAGGCUGGUACACAGGUGGUGCAUGGUUGUCGUCAGCUCGUGUCGUGAGAUGUUGGGUUAAGUCCCGCAACGAGCGCAACCCUCGUUCUAUGUUGCCAGCGGUUCGGCCGGGGACUCAUAGGAGACUGCCGGGGUCAACUCGGAGGAAGGU